rnacentral:tRNA from 1 species
GGCCAGGUAGCUCAGUUGGUACGAGCGUCCGCCUGAAAAGCGGAAGGUCGCCGGUUCGAUCCCGGCCCUGGUCCC